AGAAUCAACGCUGGCGGCGUGCCUAACACAUGCAAGUCGAACGAGAAAGUGGAGCAAUCCACGAGUAAAGUGGCGCACGGGUGAGUAACACGUGACUACCUACCCUUGAGUGGGGGAUAACCUAGGGAAACCUGGGCUAAUACCGCAUAACACCUACGGGUCAAAGGAGCAAUUCGCUUAAGGAGGGGGUCGCGGCCGAUUAGUUAGUUGGCGGGGUAAUGGCCCACCAAGACGAUGAUCGGUAUCCGGCCUGAGAGGGCGCACGGACACACUGGAACUGAAACACGGUCCAGACUCCUACGGGAGGCAGCAGUGGGGAAUUUUGCGCAAUGGGGGAAACCCUGACGCAGCAACGCCGCGUGGAGGAUGAAGUCCCUUGGGACGUAAACUCCUUUCGAUCGGGACGAUUAUGACGGUACCGGAAGAAGAAGCCCCGGCUAACUUCGUGCCAGCAGCCGC
rnacentral:rRNA from 1 species